GGUCUGCGCAUGCGCGAGCCACCGUUGACAAAGAUGGCGGCCCGGCAUACGCGCGACAGUCGGUUAUUUGACAGAUUAACCCGUGCGACAGUUUCGACGAGUUUUACGGCGUGAAUUCGGUGUGCAUAUUAAUAUACAUGGAUAAGACAGAUAUACCAGAAGCACUAGAGAAUUUCCUGCAAUGGUAUAACCUUGGCAGUAAUCUCAGUGAGAACAAGAUUCCGAGGAAUCCUCGACAGUACAACUCAAUCCCUCGUAUUAACCUAAUCGAGCCAGUACCGUUGGCGCAUAAAUCACUCAACAUCUGAUGCAACUAAGGAAUUGAUUCCUCGAGGCGGGCUUUUAAAAUCCUUUCGCGACUACCUUUAACGACUAACCACUAUUCCGGUUAACUAAUCAACGACAAAACAUAACCCCAGCCAACUAAGGGAAUACAGUUAUGGACACGCGCGGAGUUUCCAGCAGCGAGAAAGCACCGGGAUAGAAUGAUAGCGUCGUAUAAUGAAGAAAGGAAGUAUAGCGUACAAUAAAGGCGUAGAGCUGGAAACAGUGUAAGCUUUUAAAGAAGGCAGGAGGAGGCACGACAAGAGAGAACUAGUCUACACGAUGCAUCAGGACGUACGUGCAGGAGGGAUUCUAAUGGCUACCUACACCGUUUAAACUCUAUGACCUUGGCUGACCGUUGCAUCAAGAAGGUCAACAAAUCUCAACAACCAUCAAAUUUGCAUACAGCAAACUCGCAAACACAAUGCACUUUCUACGCAAUCGGCGCGCAUCGAUGCACUAAGCCACGGCGGAGGCCGGCGUUGCAUGCAGCGGCGGUAUCCUAUACAUUAGACAGAGCUACUCAAUCGAAUCGUACAAUUUGUAUAUGGAAUCAUACCAAAGCCAUGUAUGUAUAAAGCGUGUAAAAAGAGAAUUGCAUUGAAACAAAUUCAUAAGUAAUGAUAUAACAAGUAAAAAGGCUUAUUGUAUCUCUCUUUUAGUAAUGCGUAUAUCGGGGGGUCAGGGUGGGUCGGCGCACUUUGUGCUUUAACUUCGUACAUGACGACGCAGAAUAAUGCACUCAUUAAGAUGCGUUAUUUAUGCAACGAUAUUGCGUCACUAAUUGACACGUUCCGCGACGGCACUUAGUGCACUGUCUGCACUGCUAUGCAUGUAUAGAAAUACCAGGUAGGGCGUCUAGAUACUUGCAAGAUACCGCCAUUUUACGGCUGGACGUUUAUAAAGAGAUCGGACCAUGCUGGCAAAGUGGUGCCGUUAAUUACCGAGGCUUGCGGAGGAGUCGCCAUUAUUAACGUCAAUUAAGUAAACUGUUAACUUAAAGCUGGAAUGCAUUAAAAUUGCUAUAGCGGCAAGGCAACACGCUACUGGCAAUAAGUAAAAUGUAUUUAUAUAGCGGGAGGUAUAUCGUGAGGCGCGUAGAAAGAAAUUUAUAGAAAACAAAAAACUUUCAUAGAGGGGGGAAUUGCCGCUUGAUUAUUUUCUAUCUACGCUUUCGAAAUUUUCCUAGGAAUCAGAUGGGGAUUUAUGAGAUCGUCAUGGCGUUCAGAGUUUACCGGUUAAUUGCACGACGAUAUCCAACUUCCACUAAGGUACUCAUUAGACGAGCUAUUAAUGGCUAUUGCGAAUUAUUGGUCGUUCCUAUCGGCUAGCUUACCAACGCUGGUUACUAUUAUAGUGAAUUUCUUAUGCUGUACCAGUUCGUACUGUACAUCCGAUAGGGAGUGUAGUUCAACAGUGCACGAACCGACUGCACUAUCUUUACGACUGUCAAUAGUUGCACAACGGUGCAUACGAAUGCAUUAUAGUAGCAGCUAGGUUAGGUGAGGUUUGCGUCGUGCAAACUGGUAAGAGAAAUAGAGAGGGGGGAUGCGAAUAGUAAGAAAGAGGCAACAAAAAAUUCGAAAAAAAAAAGUUCAAAAUUUAGACAUUUUUUUUUUUUUCUUUCAUAUUCAUCCUGCAUUCACGCACGCGCGGCCAAUGCGGGUUUCCGGCAAAGCCGUCCGCGAGUCGUAUGCAGAUUUCAACACUCAGAUUCAUUACGGGACGUUAAUUAUAAGUUAAUGACGCGACUGCCGUGUGGCUUUCUGCUGCAAGCUCUUACGUAAGACAAUGUGCAAAUGCAUAGCAGUUCCAGUGGGAACUGCAACGAUAGUCUUAUGCGCCGUUAUAGAUGUAACGUGUGUACGUAUGAUAUAAAUAUAUUGUAACGUAAU